UCACAAAAAGUGUUAGAAUUCAAGUAAAGUGGCAAAUUUUACAUAUGACUUUCUAUUCCAAGGUUUAUCAAGAUGACAGAACUCAUACAGAAUAUAUGAAUAAACAUAAAAAUAAAAAUCUACCUUAGGAAAAAAAAAAAAACUAAAAGGGGUUUCCACUUUUGCAACCUCCUCAUUUUUCCUCUUGCUGGCGCCAUGGAAGAAGUGCCUUUCGCCUCCCACCAUGAUUCUGAGGCCUCCCCAGCCAAGUGGAACUAUUGCUAUGAGAAGAGGAAAGGGUUAAGCUAGACCUAAAUACAAUACUGUAUGGAAGAAGUUGAAAAAACUGUGACAAAUUAUCUUUACAUACUAAUAGGAAAGAUAUCCAAGAUCUACUGGCAGAGUCAAAAAAGCAAGUUUGCAAACUGAGAGGCAGAGUAAGUAUGAUACUGAUUCUGUGAGGAAAGCAAGCACACACGUACACAUACAAACACACACAGCAAUACUAUAUUUCAUAAGCCUAUUUGUCUGUCCACAACAUGUAUCUCUAAGUCAAUGCAUAGAAAAAGGUCUGAAGCAACAGAAAACCAAACUGAAAAUAGUUGUCAUUUUCUGGCAUUGGUGGGUAGGCAGCUGGGAUUGGGGAUGAUGGUGGUGAGAGAAUGUCAGAGAAGCCUUUACAAACAUUCCACAUGUUUUGAAGAUAAUAUGUUAAUACAAUACUUAUAUAGUAAGAACUAAUUUUUUAAAAGAAUCAUAUGUGGAUAAAAAGGACAAAGGUUGAGCAAAAAGAUGCAAUGGUUAGGGAGAAGCAUGACUAGGCAGAGCAUGAAAAAGGCCUCUGCUUCCUCAGUAACUUGAGGUAAAGAGCUGCUAUUUCCCUCUUUCAAUUUACCCCUUAAACCCAUCAUCUCUGGCUCAGGACUGGUGAUUUUUAAAAAGCACCAAUGUGAGUGUGAAGGCUCGUGGUCCUGUGAGUUCCUAAUCAUUCUUUACACCUUUGGAACAUGAGAUAAGGUAGGAGUAGUAGGUAGAUAAGGGUAAUGAAUUUUCUUUUAAUUCUUGAAAUUAACUACUAUGCCAGAAACCUACUGUGGCUAUUUCCCUCUAUCCUUUAGCUAUAAAAGUAAAUGCUAACUCUUGGCUGUAUAAAUAGGAAGGAGGCAUUCAUUUAAUAUUAUUGCAAACCAGUUUAAUCACUGCUAUAAUGCCAGUACCUUCUGGGAUCGAGUCCUUCUUCCUGGUUUGCCCAAGAGAAACUAGUCGGCAGCCACUAGUCUGAACUCUGCUCUAACGGUGGCCCUACUGCUUGGUCUAUGCACGUGGUUUAUUUCUUUUGUCAAGAGUACUCUUUGUAAAAUCUUGGCUUCCUCAGUUCCUCUAUACAAGCAGGAGUUUGUCAGGGAAGAGUGUUCUGUGUAUAUGGGGCAAGGAAAGGCAUGAUCAAAAGCACAAUUACAUAGCAAGCUCAGGGAAUUAUGAGGAAGCUUGUGGGAAUGGAGUAAAUGUACAUGUGUGUGUGCGUCUGGCAAUGGGAAAUACGGUAAGGGGGAAAUUAUGGCAGGUAAUGAGAUGAGAAUAAGUAGAUCAGAGCCAGACUCUGAAACCCUGGCAUGACAAGCUAAGGAGUUUAGACUUUAUCCCUUGUGUGUUAAUGGGGACCCAUCAAAGGUUUUUAAACCAGAGAGUGAUAUGAUUAGAACUGUCUUUAAAGAAAGAGAUUUGACAAGAGUAUGGAGGAUGGAUUAGAAAAUGGAAAGGUUAAAAGUAGAUAAGCAGCUCUCCAAAGAACUGAAAUGGAAGAUGAAAAGCGCCUAAACAGGGCAAUGGCUAGGAGAAUGGAGGGAAGAGUACAAACAAAGUCAAAAAGCAAUUUUAGUGAUAGAAGAAACAGGACUUGUUGACAGAUUGGUUGUGAAGACCAAGGGAACAUAAAGACUCAAGAUGAAUGUGAGGUUUCCAGCUGAGAGGAUGGAGAGGCCACUAAUGAAGACAGAGGAUAUAGGAAGGGAGGGAGGGUGUUUGGAGAGUAUCCGGAAAAAUGAGUUUGGGAUUGGUUGAACUACUUACUAGGAUAGCAACCCUUACUGAGCUCCAAAAGGAUAAGGAUCUUGUUUGCCAAUUUUCUCUGUGCUGCACCUACUGCAAUACCAUGUGCAUUUAAUUCAAGUUUGUGAGAAUGGUGAUAAUGCUAACGUGUGCCAGGAUAAUUGAGACUUGACAAUAUUUAAGAUAUCUCUUCAAAGUGCCUGUGUAGAAAGGAAAUAUGAGACAAGGUGGUUUGUUUUACUUUUCUGUCAAAUUUCUUCUUUAGUCGUUUCCAAAAUAAAUUCCCAAUAAUAACAGGGCUUUUAACAAGAAGGUCCAUUACUAAGAGCAACCUGCGGUAGACCAUCGUAUGUCUCACAACUUUACAUUCUACACAUUCCAAUAAUCAAGUCACAUCACCUCUAAUUCUCUUUCUUGUUCAGGAACCUGUAUUACCACUUAACAUUCUAAAACCUGCCACACCCAAUAGUCAAACAUAAUCAGAGCCAUUUUAACAAUAUGGGGGAAAAAAAAGAAAAAGAAAUAACCUCACUGCUGUUAAAAAACCUUAGGAGGAGGUACAGAAAAAGAAAGCACCAUUUGUUCUGGUUAAUGUUGUUGUGUAAUGUUUUCUGGGGUGUGCCCUGUAGGCAUGUUGAAAUCAUAACUAAAUAAAUCAGCUCCAGCAACGCAAAGAAACAAUAUUCCCUUCCCCUUUGGCUGCCUGAAGGAAUAAUGGCAUCUUCUCCAUGAUGUGCACACACUUUGGAGCUGCUUUGUUUUUAAUCUUCUGCCAAGUCAAGUUUUAGUUUUAUUUUAAUUUUGGUAACCACAGUAAAUUCCAAAUCUUUGACAAGUAAAUGCUUUCUUUCUCGCCAGAAUCCCACUCACUUUCCUUUCUAACUCUAGGAGUUCAAUAAUGGCUGCAGUACUGAUCUCUUUUCAUGAACAAGAAAAUAAAUACACUAUAAAUUAAGCAUAUUUCCUGACAUUUACAUGAUGGUUUAAAUGUGACAUGAGUACAAUAAAAUUGUCAUCUUGUUUGCCCAUCAUUGUAUAAAUAUAUAUGUAUAUAUAUUUAUGUGCACUGUACGGAAAAGAACAGCAUAGAAAGUCAGGAGAUGUGCACUCAAGUCUCAUUCAUUUCAGUUGGCUGUAUGACGUUAGUUUAAAAACUUAAAUUUGGUUUCCCUAUGUAUAAAAGUUAGGCAAAUAUACUAGAUGGUUUUCAAAGUCCCUUUCACUUUAAAAUUCUGAUUCAUAAGAUUAUGUCUGUUACCGAUUUUUUUUAAACACAUGAAAAAGUCACUC